AUUACCUUAGUUAUCAAUUCUACUUUCUUACUUUAUACAGAAUGCAAGAGUCAGCUGAUACAGUUUAUUUUGGUUAAGUUUGGAAUUCUGUGGUUGUAAAUGCAACACUGUAACUGUGUAUAUUGUUUUUGUGAAAUGUCAUUAUUACAUUGGACUUGGCUCAAGCAGCAUCUGUCUCGUGUGAUUCAUUCACUAUUCCCCUUUUCAGGGGCGUAACAUAUGAAGGCCAGAUUCAACACUUAUCACUGCUGGUUUGAGGAAUCCUGCACUGGAGACGCAACAGCUCACCGAUCACCUCAUUUCUACCAUGUUUACAUCUCGUGACUGUCAGGCAAACCACUGGAUGAAAUUCUUCUGUGGCUUGUGUCCACAGAAGCAUCAGAGCUGCACGUUACACCCAGCAUUGCAGCUGCAACUGCACUUACAGAACAAUUCAUAUCAUCUCAAAAUAAUAUUUUGUACUGCAUUCAUUUUUUUAAAGGUCUAAAUGCCCCUGCAAAACAGACUGAAGGAGAGGCAUCUGGAUGUCUGUUGUAAAGUUGCACUUGAUGAUCAAAUGCUGUGCCACAAGUUGUUCGCUGUGGAAAUGAGUAGCUGAGUGGAAAUGAGUACAUGUUUUUUGCACAAUCCCAUGUUCAGUAAAUGUCCAUGGAUCUGUUAGUUUCCUUGGGGUGUUAUUUACUGAGAGGCACUUAGAAGAAAAUAAAGAAAUAUACUUCAAAUGAAAUACUAUUUUUUUUUUUUUAAAUGUAUGUAAAUAUACCUGCUAAAACAGUCAAAAUAUAAAACAUUUGCUUGGGGAAGCAAAAGUUAAGGUAUAUGAGUCUGGGGCCCCGAUGAGACACCACCACCACCUUAUUUAAAUCAGG
rnacentral:lncRNA from 1 species